GCCAACAGGUUGAGGAGGAUCUGACACUUGACCAACUCCGAUCGAGAUUCGGAUGAGUCCAACAACGGAGUGACGUUUAUUUUGGUCUUUCCUGAUGCUACCCACAAAUACUGUCGCCCAAAUUGGUUGGUUGCGGAGUGCUGUCAUGCUGAGGAAUGUAAACUGUGCUUCGUGCAUCUUCUGAUUCGGGGGCAGGGCGAUUGCAGAGUUAAAGUAGACCUGAUCUUGGGUGUCCUCGCUGAACGCGUCCCUCUGAUUCUGAACAGGACCACGUACCGACCAUGGCUGCCUACGAUCGAUGCGACUGUUUCGAUGUGAACUUGCGAUUGUUCGCUACAGAGUUCUGCAUCAAUACUCCCUCCGUCCUAAAUUAUAGAUCAUUUUAGCUAUUCUAGAUGCAUAAGUAUUAUAAUGCAUCUAAGCAUAAGGUAUAUCUAAGUGUCAGCUUCACACUGCAUUUAAUUCAUACCCAACAUCUGCCCCGUGAAAUAAAUAGUAGUAAUAAUCAGUAAACGCAGGAAAGGCAAGAGAACCAACAGCC
rnacentral:lncRNA from 1 species